UGGUUGUCGUCAGCUCGUGUCGUGAGAUGUGGGUUAAGUCCCGCAACGAGCGCAACCCCUAUUGCUAGUUACCAUCAUUAAGUUGGGGACUCUAGCGAGACUGCCAGUGAUAAACUGGAGGAAGGUGGGGAUGACGUCAAAUCAUCAUGCCCCUUAUGACCUGGGCUACAAACGUGAUACAAUGGCUGGAACAAAGGGAUGCGAAGCAGUGAUGUGGAGCGAAACCCAUAAAAACAGUCUCAGUUCGGAUUGAAGUCUGCAACUCGACUUCAUGAAGUCGGAAUCGCUAGUAAUCGCGGAUCAGAACGCCGCGGUGAAUACGUUCUCGGGGUUU
rnacentral:rRNA from 1 species